GCAACAACAUGCUUAGCUACUUCUAAGGGCAAAAGACACUCGACAUAUACUAGCCCACUACAGUCCUCUUCUAUCUUGUGUGUUAUAAUUUUUUCUUUGGGAUCGUAACAUAAUAACUCGCGACCCUUAUUCCUAAUAAAAAAAUCCAACAAGAUACCUCCAUCGCCGCUAAUCGCUAAUGCGCGAACAUUAUAGCCAUCGCUCACAUCGAUCAUGAGUG
rnacentral:misc_RNA from 1 species